rnacentral:lncRNA from 1 species
UUGCAUAGUGCCUGCAUAGUGUUUUGCAUAGUAAAAUCUUUUUAUAUAAAACAGAAUACUUUUAUAAAGUUAUUCGUUUUAUUAGAUUAUAAAUAGAAUAUAUUAUAUUUUAUUUAAAAGAUUUUGCUUUAAAUAUGGACCGUCCGGUUAAAAGUAAAUCAAUCUGGACCGUUCAUGAAUUAGUUACUAUGCAGUCCAUUCUUCUAUAAAUAGAAGCUCAUUCCUUCAUUAUUUCUUACGAAUUCACUGAAACUCUAGAGAGAGA